UAUACCUAUGGGACGCAGCAGUGGGGGAUAUUGCACAAUGGGGGGAACCCUGAUGCAGCGACGCCGCGUGGGUGAAGGAGCGUUUCGGCGCGUAAAGCCCUAUCGGCAGGGAAGAAGAUGACGGUACCUGACCAAGAAGCCCCGGCUAACUACGUGCCAGCAGCCGCGGGAAUACGUAGGGGGCAAGCGUUAUCCGGAUUUACUGGGUGUAAAGGGGGCGCAGACGGCAAUGCAAGCCAGGAGUGAAAGCCCGGGGCCCGAACCCGGGGCUGCUCUUGGUACU
rnacentral:rRNA from 1 species